GGAGUAGUGGCUCAGUGGUGGAGCACUUACCUGGCACGUGUGAGGCACUGGGUUUGAUUCUCAGCACUGCA
rnacentral:tRNA from 1 species